rnacentral:tRNA from 1 species
GCGCCCGUAGCUCAGCUGGAUAGAGUGACAGACUCCGACUCUGUAGGCCAGCGGUUCGAAUCCGCUCGGGCGUA